rnacentral:rRNA from 1 species
UUAAAUGGCCGCAGUAUUUUGACUGUGCUAAGGUAGCAUAAUCAUUAGUUUUUUAAUUGAAAGCUAGAAUGAAGGGUUUGAUGAAAAAAAAACUGUCUUUUGAUAAUUAAAUUAAAAUUUUAUUAUUAAGUUAAAAAGCUUAAAUUUUUUUAAAAGACGAGAAGACCCUAUAGAGUUUGAUUUUUUUAUUUUAUAUAAUGUUUAGAAUUUAAAAUUAUAUUUUUUAUAAAAAUUUAAUUGGGGUGAUUGAAAAAUUUAAUAAACUUUUUUUAUUUUUAUUUAUAAAUUUAUAUAUUUUUGAUCCAUAUAAAUGAUUAUAAGAUUAAAUUACCUUAGGGAUAACAGCGUAAUUUUAUUGGAGAGUU